CCCCUUCCCAUAGUUCAAAUCUGUUCAACUUGGAAUUUAAUCUUGUGUCUGUAAGGCACGUAUGUUUGCUUCAUACUUGGCUGCUUUGAGUUUGGUUCGGAAAUCGUCAUGUAUAUUGUCCGAUGCUUGCAGUUUAAUUUGUAUCCCGAAAUAAAUUUAGUGGCGUGACUUAAUUUGGCACUAUUCUUGACUUAUUCAAUAUCGAUUAAAGUUGAAUUGUCUUAUUAAUCUCUUUACCCUCUCUUUACUUGCAUAAAAAUUGGAGCAAAAAUGGAAUCCGAAUUGAGGACUCUCGCCAAAAUAAAGUCUCAUGGACUCGCUACCAUCAUACCCGCAUAUGGAGUCUAUGUCUUUGACUAUCCGGAAUAGAAAACAAAAGACAUCAUUUGGUGGAUCAAUGGUUACCUAAGGUGGCUUCAACAGACUUGCCCCAUCUUGUGGUGGAUUGCAACUAUCAAUAAGGAACUCUUGGAACAACAGCAAGAGGAAACUGAAGCUCUUGAAGAUGAUGGGUGAGCCAGUUAGUUUCAGAAAGAGUAGCAUCAGCUGCCCGAUAUUCUGCCUCCAUAGAAGAAUGAGAAACUCAAUGCUGCUUCAUUAAAGACCAUGAAAUAGGGGAACUACUAAGAUAGGUAACAUAACCAGUGGUCGAUGUGCAAUCUUGAGGAUCUCCUGCCCACUCUGAGUCAGAGUACGCAAGCAACCGACAAUCAGUUUCAUUGGCAACAGUACACGAAAAGAGGUAGUUGAACAGAGAUAACAGAGAAGUCGUUUAAGAGAAACCCAGUGAGACAUAAAUGGUUGAUGCAUAGCUUGGGACAACUUUCUAACAAAAGAAGCUUGUUAACAUUUUUUCUUGAAAAUGAUCUCAUAAAAUCUAAGAAACCAUGUCCUAUGUGGAUUAUUCUUUUUGGAAAGAGGUUGUCAAUAGUAAGAUAGAUUCAAUCUUGAACAACAAUACUUGAGAGUUAGUUGAUUUUCCGAAAUAA